UCAAACCUUCAUCCCCGGCC
rnacentral:tRNA from 1 species